UGCCUUUGCCUUACUUUUUUCUUUUGCCUUUCGGUCUUUACGUUUAUAUUACAUUACACCCGGUAAUUAAUAAAUAGCGGCCAAGAAAAAUGACUUCACAGCGGGAGAGCGUACUACCUCCACGCACAGACGCACACACAAAAUAAAGGAGGAAACUAACUGAUUUCUUAAAGGAAGAAAUAUCCAACGUUUUCUUGGUUCAUCAAUGUGACAUUAUUGCAUAUAGCAGAAUAUAGACCAAAAACAAAAAGAACGAUUGCCCGCGUUUUGUGCAAUAUUGCCCUCCUCCUGUUAGGGUGUACUGUACAAGUGUACAGGAGCCCUCUCCAGCGGUGCAUCGUGGGAAGGAAAAAGCCUCCUUCAAAGCCGCAGAUGGCCAUGCACUCGCUCCUCUACUCUGGCACAUUGGCAUCAGUUACACCAUAAUUUCAUCACCAGCUGCUCCUUGUGAAUCCUGCUUUACAUUAACUUUUUACAAGGAUUGGCAACACAAAGGCAGGGGUGCACAGCAGUGCCAGCACUCCAACCCAUUUUGCCUCCAAUAUACAAGAGUUUGUUUCAACAUUUUUGUUGCUUAAGCGCUGUAUAUGUUGAAUGAAAUGAGUUGAACAGA